rnacentral:rRNA from 1 species
GAACUCAAGGCGAAAGNAACUGGCCCGGGUNGUUUAAAAACCGGGNAAGGGAAAGGGGUUGGGGGGAUGAACGUCCAAAGUCCUCAUGGGCCUUUAUGGAAUNAGGGGGCUGCCACNACGUCAUACAAUGGGCGCGCAACAAAGGGAAGCGAACUCGCGGAGAGCAANNAUCAUCCCAAAAAUCGCGCCUCAGUUCGGAUUGCAGGCUGCAACUCGCCUGCAUGAAGCCGGAAUCGCUAGUAAUCGCGGGUCAGCAUACCGCGGUGAAUGUGUUCCUGAGCUUUAUAACCACCGCCCGUGAAUCACUAGUGAAUUNGCGGCUGCAUGCAGG